rnacentral:rRNA from 1 species
GACGUAGGGUGCAAGCGUUGUCCGGAAUUAUUGGGCGUAAAGAGCUCGUAGGCGGUCUGUCGCGUCGGAUGUGAAAACCCAGGGCUCAACCCUGGGCCUGCAUUCGAUACGGGCAGACUAGAGUUCGGUAGGGGAGACUGGAAUUCCUGGGGUAGCGGUGAAAUGCGCAGAUAUCAGGAGGAACACCGGUGGCGAAGGCGGGUCUCUGGGCCGAAACUGACGCUGAGGAGCGAAAGCGUGGGGAGCAAACAGG